GCCUGCGCCACCUUCCAGCCGGCGGAGCCCCGGCACCGCGGGGACCCUUCCUGUCUCUCCACGCCCCGCCCCCCACCAGGAAGGCGGGGGGAGGGGUCAAGAAGGUGGCUGCCACCCUGGGCCGAGGCAACCUCCCCAGGACCCUUCCUGCCCCAGAUCAGAUGUCUGGUUCCAUUUAACUGGAGGCAAAGCCCCCCACCCUCGGGCGUUGCAGCAUGGUCCCCCCCCCUCCAACCACGUGGAGCAGGAAAAGGAGGGACCUCCCUUUUUUGGUUCUUGGAACUGCGGCUUCCGGAGCCUUGCCAGAAACCCAGCGCCAUGCCGUCGUAAGUGGCUAAUUCCAUUCCUGGAAGGCCCCUUUCCUUACAAGGAAGGGGAGAAAGAAAAUGGAGCCUCCAGAAAAGACGACAUAUAAAAGUGAGCAAAAAUCAAGGUAAAUGAAUGAACAAACACUUAAACUUGAUAAUAUGUGAAUAUUGCGUGGCACAAAAGGAUAUCGUUAUGCCCACAUGUAGAAAUAGGGUGGUGCCUACGUCUACAGUUAUCUCUUUUUUAAAAUUUUGCUUCUGGAGUGUCCUUUUUCCAGAGAAUUCGAGGCAGUGUCCAUUCUUUACCUCUUCUUUUUAUCUCUUUGAUUACCUUAAAAUCUCUUUGCUUAUUAAAGUAAGGGCAACUUUAGAGCCCUUUAAAACUACUGUCCUGUAAUCUUUGUUUUUCUCCUUUCAACUCAGAGUAGAAUUAAAAUGGGAGAUACACACAGUAUUUGUUUAUCCAACAAAGUUUGUCCCCAUCCUACUUCUGCCUGCC